UACGGAGGGGACUAGCGUUGUUCGGAAUUACUGGGCGUAAAGCGCACGUAGGCGGAUUUGUAAGUCAGGGGUGAAAUCCCGGGGCUCAACCUCGGAACUGCCUUUGAUACUGCAAAUCUCGAGUCCGGAAGAGGUGAGUGGAAUUCCUAGUGUAGAGGUGAAAUUCGUAGAUAUUAGGAAGAACACCAGUGGCGAAGGCGGCUCACUGGUCCGGUACUGACGCCGAGGUGCGAAAGCGUGGGGAGCAAACAGG
rnacentral:rRNA from 1 species